UGAGAAAGCACGAGGGCAACUGACGCCGUAAGGUGAGGAAAGUCCCCCCUCCUCGGCAGGGCCCAGUUGGCGCAAGCCAGUGUUCCGAGAGGAAUGGUAAAGGCAAAAGAAAUCAACGGUUCCCAGUAAAGGAUGAACUCGAAGGGGAGACGUUUCUGGGAGAUCCGAUGGGAAGCCUUCCUGGGUGGAGAAAGUCUAAAAUGGCCCUGUGAAGCUGCCGUUAGGGCCGGGUGAGACGACUAGUCGAAUGUUGCCAGCCCGAAAGGGUGAACAGAAGGGGGCUUACUCCGUGGAUUCUCAUCU
rnacentral:RNase_P_RNA from 19 species